AUGAUUGUGUUUGCAUAUUUUAGAUAAUUUGAUAAAAAAAAUUUCGGGGGGGGGGGGGGGGGGGGGGUCCGGUCCACCUCCCUCUAGAUCCGCUCAUGACUUUAAUUCAAAUAAUGGUUCCGUUUCUGGUUAAUGCAAUAUGUGACUGUCCAAGAGAACUUUUUUCACGUUUUCUGAAUUUCGUGUGAAAGGAGUUUUAUUCAACUGCAUGUAGAAUACUAUUCUAGUGCCUUACUGUACAGAAGCUUGGAAGUAGCGACAUAAUUAAUUUGUCAUUGCAGUUAUUUAUUUACAUUUACUGUCAUUUUUCUGUGAUAAAAAUACAAAUC
rnacentral:misc_RNA from 1 species